UACAGAGGUGGCAAGCGUUGUUCGGAAUUACUGGGCGUAAAGGGCGCGUAGGCGGCCUUCUAAGUCAGACGUGAAAUCCCCCGGCUUAACCUGGGAACUGCGUCUGAUACUGGAGGGCUUGAGUGCGGGAGAGGGAUGUGGAAUUCCAGGUGUAGCGGUGAAAUGCGUAGAUAUCUGGAGGAACACCGGUGGCGAAGGCGGCAUCCUGGACUGCAACUGACACUGAAGAACGAAAGCCAGGGGAGCAAACGGG
rnacentral:rRNA from 1 species